CCUGCCCCUAGAGGCGUUACAGGUGUGGCUGUUGUGUCACAUGUGCGUCAGUAGGUGGCAUCGAGGAGACAGGCUAUGUCUACGCUCAGUGUUGUGAUCUAUGAACGUCUGGAUGGUUAGUAGCCUAACAUU